AUGCGGUGCCUCGUCGCGCUCCCUGCGGUCGCCGUCCCCGGCCGCCGCUCACAUCCUAACCUGAAACCCCGCCGCAGAAGCACUCUCGUAGCUAUCCUUGGAAGCUGCCGCUGCGGCCGCCGCCACCUCCUCGGUGCAUCCUCUGCCGCCGGCCUCCUCCAUCUCGUCAACCCUCCGUGCCUCGCCGCCCCAGCCAUCGACCCCGACGUGAUGCUUGAACGGGUGCACCCAGCGAGGCCUGGCUGGUACGAGAAGCUUUACGCAACGGCCAUGGACAAGGGCAUGCAGUCUUAUGAAGCCGAGAUUGCGCAGUAUAAAUCGAAUCUCUUCUCCCAAUUGUCAGUUGCGGGGAAGAACAUUCUGGAGCUUGGUGUUGGAACAGGCCCCAACUUAAAGUACUAUGCAAGUGCUGAUGGGGUAAAUGUAAUUGGGGUGGAUCCUAACAUCUACAUGGAGGAGUAUUCUAGAGCAGCAGCAACUUCUGCUGGGCUUCCGUCAUCAAAUUUCACUUUCAGAAGAGGGGUUGGCGAAGCUUUGCCAGCAGAAGAUGGUUCCAUGGAUGCAGUUAUUGGUACAUUGGUGUUAUGUUCUGUAAAAGACACCGAUAUGGCAUUAAGAGAGAUAAAGAGAGUCCUAAAGCCGGGUGGUCUCUACCUAUUCAUUGAGCAUGUUGCUGCAGCAGAUGGUUCCUUCCUCCUGUUGGUGCAAGGUGCCCUUGAUCCUCUGCAGCAAUUUGUCGCUGACGGGUGCCACCUCACCAGGAAAACAGCUGAAAACAUCAAGGAAGCUGGGUUCUCGAGCUUGAGCCUAAACGCGGUGCGCCUGUCAUCUGCGUAUAUCGUUAGCCCCCAUGUUUAUGGUGUAGCCUAUAAAUGA
rnacentral:rRNA from 1 species